rnacentral:rRNA from 1 species
GAUGAACGCUGGCGGCGUGCCUAAUACAUGCAUGUCGAGCGAACAGAUGAGAAACUUGCUUCUCUGAUGUUAGCGGCGGACGGGUGAGUAACACGUGGGUAACCUACCUAUAAGACUGGGAUAACUCCGGGAAACCGGGGCUAAUACCGGAUAAUAUUUUGAACCGCAUGGUUCAAUAGUGAAAGACGGUUUCGGCUGUCACUUAUAGAUGGACCCGCGCCGUAUUAGCUAGUUGGUAAGGUAACGGCUUACCAAGGCGACGAUACGUAGCCGACCUGUGAGGGUGAUCGGCCACACUGGAACUGAGACACGGUCCAGACGCCUACGGGAGGCAGCAGUAGGGAAUCUUCCGCAAUGGGCGAAAGCCUGACGGAGCAACGCCGCGUGAGUGAUGAAGGUCUUCGGAUCGUAAAACUCUGUUGUUAGGGAAGAACAAAUUUGUCAGUAACUGAACAAGUCUUGACGGUACCUAACCAGAAAGCCACGGCUAACUACGUGCCAGCCGCCGCCGUAA